GGGGAAGGGUCACGCGUUAUGCGCGUCCUUUUUAUUAUUGGACAUCUAUAAUACUCCUACCACAUUACAAAUUAUCCUCAUAUUCUUCCCACUGAACUUCACCUUAAAAGGAGGCACAUCGAAGCUGCAAGAACCAAAUCCAUCAUCAUGACGAAGACUCUCCCCAUGGCCAUGGCCAACAUCUUCAUCUGUUUCGUUCUGCUAUCAUCGCUCAUCGCUUCGCCUCUGGAGUCCGCAAGGAUCGUCCACGAGCACCGCGCCCACGUCGCUGCAGGUGAGGAGACGCGUGAUCGCCAUCUACCCGACGACCUUGGGGAAAUCAAGAGAGCGCAGCCCCACCAAUUCGCGCCGCCGGCGCCGCAAGCGAACGAGCAACGCUACCCCCCGAUCUGGCAUGAUGGAUCCCCCUCUGUCUAACUGUCUGUGCAAACCUGAUGGAAAAAUAAUAGUAAUAUGAGAAUUCUGUGCUUCAAAUGAUGUGUCCUGUAUGAUUCUCUUA